AAGAAACUCUUUCUCAAGAAGCUGAGCCAGGCAGGGCAGCACUGGGUUCUUCCCUCAUCUAGCAGGGCUGGCUGGCACCCUUCCUCAGCCAGAGCUGAGCAACCAGGUUUAGGCAGGGACAGAUUUGCCAAGACACCUUUGGCUAAAGCACAACUUUAGACACACUUUCUCUGAAACCAGCUUUCCUUAGUUCAUUUAUGCCAACAAUAAGCUACAUAACCUCCAGCUUAUGCCUCUUUUCAAUAUAGCCAUUUAUGUGUGUUUUAUCACAGGACCAUCAUGAACUCACCCAUGGGAUGUUAAUGGGGGAGAAGGGGAGCAGAUGCGGGUUUCUUAUGUGGCCACCUUUUGUGCUGCACUCACCAGUGUCAAAGAGGCUCCCUUCAGUCAAUCCAUACCCUGUUUAGAAGAGGCCUAGUUGGGACCCAAAGGACCACAUGCAGCAGUGGGUGGGGACAUAGGAGCCAGAGUUAGCAGCCAGUGUGACCUAUGCCCAAUGCUCAUCUGCUCUCUUUCUCGAGGAGGAGGAAGAGGAGGAGAAGAGAUCUUCUCUAUCCAGCAAAGAGAAUGAAGCCCUUUGAAUCAAGAAUCCUUGACCAAUCUGUUUGGAUAGAGAAAGCACACUCCUGCGGAUCAGGCUCUUUCCUUCCCAGGCAAUCAGGAAAACUGGUGACAUGUACUCCAGGGAAGGCUUGUGGGUUGCAUGACUUCGAAGAACCAAGUCAACUGAGAUUGGCCAACACUACUGCUGUUGCUGCCAGACAAAAGAGGCCGUUCUUGGAGGAACUGACAAUGGAACCAACCCUUCACAAGCAAAGAAAACAAACAGAGGGACAAGUACAUGGGUAAAAAUAAUAAUCAGGUGAAAAAAGAUGUAGAAGUUAAGAAAACAGCCUCUAGUUCAUAAAGAGACUGAGUAAGAGACUAAGAAAGCCUUUAGAAACCUAGAAGAUAAACUGGAUUAUAAAAACAAAAAUCCAGUUCCUGAGAUUUCUGUCACCUUCUCCUAUCCUUGUUCAAUAAAUCAUGAUAAAGAAUCUGUGGAAAAAUCUUGCUUUUUGUGGAGGUAGGGCAGUCAAAAACUAGAUAGAGCAGUACAAUGGACUGCAAAAGAAGCAAAUACAAUUUAAGGCUGCAUCAACAGAAGUAUAAUUUGCAAGUCAUGGGAAUUAUUUGAUUCUGCAUUGGUCAGACCCCACCUCGAGUACUAUAUCCAAUUCUGGGCUCACACUUCAGGCUGGGUGGCUUUAGUUCUUGGUUGUUCACUUGCAGAUGUUUUAUUACCCAACUAGGUAACA